CUCCGCCCUUCUCCCCUCCCUUCCCGGGCCCUGGUUUCAUCCUGUCUCUCCGCAGCUGUGUCCCCUGCUUCCCCGAGAGGUAAAUGGAGAAUCCGUGACCCCCCCACCAGACCGAGCCUGGUAAUUCAUCCCCGGGUUGGGUUACUGGGCUCUGCCUUGCAGCGGGUGCCCGGCUCCUUCCUCCAAGCCUGAGGACUUUUGCUGGGUUUCUCCUCCACAGAUGGCAGAAGGUCCUUCCCAUCGGAGUUUUCAGUACUGCCAUGGUAUUUUAUGAACACCUUUUCCUACAUGAAUAGGCACCAUCCGCUUUUUGUUUCCUCACUUAAUUGCUUCGGACUAUUGCUGACUGGGGACACAGAAGCAUGCAGUUGUGUUUUUGCCUUUAGAAAUCUAAUAUUUACCAUGACUUAACUUCUCUCCUUUCAUUCUUCUUCUUGGAGAUGGAAGAUUAUGGGACCUUUUCAUUUUAGUGAUGAAAAACAAGAUGAAUUCGUUUGUGACUGGUAGGAUGACAAAUCCAGAAAUGACAGUGCUCCUGAGGGAAUGAGGGGCAGUAAGGAAGAUAAAAGAUAUAAUUAACUGAGCUCUCUUUGGAGAAUUCAUCUGCCCCAUCCCUCUGGCCAGACACCGUAGUCACCUUUCCUCCUCAGGCAGGCCUGGCCCUUUUCUUAGUAGGCUGACAAUCAUGACAUUGCUUAGUGACAUUUUGUGAUGGGAACAAAAAGGCAACUAGGCGAUGAGGCCAGCAAACUCAUUUCACUUGUAUCCAAUGGAAGCCUCCAGAGGAAAAAAGAUUUUCCUUCCAGCAUCAAUUUUCUCCUAGAAAGAGAUUGUUAGUGAAGUUUUGAAUAUGUCAAGAGGUAGUUUCUUCAGCUUUGGUGUUACCAGCAAGUCUGAAAAAUCCAAUAGCUCAAUAUGCACACAAGGUAUCUGGGAAGAGAAUUGUUGGCCUUUGGUGACCUCUGGCACCUGAAACUCUGCUGAUUUAGUAGUUUCCAAUGAAAGUUCAAUUUGUGCUGCAGUGUGGUGUAAGCCAGUAAACCCAUCAAGUGUCUUGAACAUUUCAGCUGAAUGGAUUGACAGCCAUAAAAUGAACACUGGAAUAUAUACUCAGAUCUAUUUUGCUACAUUAAAACACUGCGUUAAGUUGCAAGGAGCCUUUUUCAGACUCCAUAUAAUUUAUCAUAAAACCAGCCUCAUAUUCUGCUUUGGAAGUGAGGAACAUACAUUAAUUAAUUGUUAUGCAGAUCUUAUGUUCCAUUUAUAGCCCAUAGGAUUUUAGGAUGUAGUAAUGAGUGAAAACUGGGUAUUUGUGUUCACUUCCGUACCCUCCAUGUAACAUUCAAAAUGAGUCCAAUUCAUUCCUCCAGGGAUUUACUGUUUUACCCCAUGCUACAGCACAAAUUGCCCCACUGAUUAGAAAAACUCUUCUACUUCAUAGGAGUAUUAUCUGAGCAUUAUUACACAGUGUAUUUUGUUUCCACUUGAUAAAUUACCUACACAUUAGGUGCUCCAUACAGUAGGUCCUGUAAUUCUUGUUAUCAUAGAAUCAUAGAAUCUCAGGGUUGGGAGGGACCUCAGGAGGUCAUCUGUUCCAACCCCCUGCUCCAAGCAGGACCAAUCCCCAACUAAAUCAUCCCAGCCAGG